UACAGGGGGUGCAAACGUUGCUCGGAAUCACUGGGCGUAAAGCGCACGUAGGCGGACUCUUAAGUCAGGGGUGAAUCCCAGAGCUCAACUCUGGAACUGCCUUUGAUACUGGGUAUCUUGAGUAUGGAAGAGGUAAGUGGAAUUGCGAGUGUAGAGGUGAAAUUCGUAGAUAUUCGCAGGAACACCAGUGGCGAAGGCGGCUUACUGGUCCAUAACUGACGCUGAGGUGCGAAAGCGUGGGGAGCAAACAGG
rnacentral:rRNA from 1 species